rnacentral:lncRNA from 1 species
UGCAACCAAAUCCUCCCUUGGAUGACGCUCUCCUUCGUGGUUCGUGCAACUGUUCGAAGGAAAAAAAAGGCGAUCCAAAAUUUGUUAAUUCCGCAAGGUAUGUCCUAUAUCGAAUUCCUUAUAUUAUUAGUACAAAUUCCCAACAGUUUUAACAUUGUUUUCAAGUGAAUGCUCACAACUUGUCUCCAAGACAUUACCACUUAAUUCCAAGUCAUUGACAACAUUAUUUUCUUGUUAACGAUCACUACUUAUUCCAAGAGAUCACCACUUCAGUCCAAAUCAUUCACCCCUUGAAGUGAAGACUUGGGAUUGGCAAAGUACAUAUCAUGCUCUUGAAAUGCAACAUCCAUAGUGAUAAACAACUUUUUCGUCGGAGGGUGAUAACAUCAUUAUCCUUUUUUUAUUGGAGGCAUAUCCUACAAACACACACCAUAAGGCCCGAGGUUCUAGCUUACUCAUCUGUUAUUUAUGUAAAUGAACAAAGGCCACAUAGCCAAUCACGCGAGGUGGAAGAUUAGGGACUGCAGGAUCAUCAACAUGUAAAGAGAGAGCUUGAAGUGGUGUCUGAAAAUCAAUUGAUAAAGAUGGAACACGAUUAAUAAGAUAUGCAAUUGAGGUGAGAGCUUCUCCCCAAUAGGAUAAUGGGAGAUGCGCCUCAAGCAAAGAAGAACGAAUAACCUCUAGAAGCUAACGAUUCUUGUAUUCUGAAACCCCAUUUUACUAUGGAGUAUAUGGACAUGUAGUUUGAUGAACAAUACCAUGAUGAUUAAGAAAGGAACGAAGUUCAAAGUUCAUUAAGUAGAAACUUCACCAUUUUGUGACUUAUAUUGUACUUGCACCAUUUUGUGAAAUACCUAAAAUAAAGUAGGAACUUCACUUUUGGACUUUAUUAAGCAAACUCAAGUCAUACAUGUGCAAUCAUUAAUAAAACUAAUGAACCAAUGAGCACCACCACAUGUAGCAGUUUUAUAGGGUCCCACACAUUAGAAUAGAUUAUCAUAAAUGGAACUAAACUUGUACUCAAACUAAAUGGAAAUGAAGUAUGAUGACUUUUAACCAAUUCACAAACACCACAUUUGAAGCUAGAAACAUCAUUACGAACAAAUAGGCUAGGAAACAACCUCAUAAAUAACCGAAAGAAGCGUGUCCAAGUCGACGAGACCACAACCAAAUCUUUGAAGCUUUAUUCCUUUCCCCCUAAGAUCUUUUCACGACAAGAGCUUUAGUCAACAUUCGAGUACUAUUCGAUGCCAGCUCGAAGUAGUAGAGCUUCCCAUUCCUAAUACCAUAUCCAAUCGUCUUACUAGUUUGAAUGUCGUUAAAAACACAAAUGGAAGGCCAAAAAAUCAC